rnacentral:rRNA from 1 species
AAAUUCCGUGAUAGCUGGUUCUCUCCGAAAUGCAUUUAGGUGCAGCGUCGGUCGAUUGCGUCGCGGGGGUAGAGCUACCGGAUGCUUGCGGGCCCUUGUUGGGUACCAACAGCAGCCGAACUCCGAAUACCGUUGACGUGUAUUCCGGCAGUGAGUCGGCGGGGGAUAAGCUCCGUCGUCGAGAGGGAGACAGCCCAGACCGUCGUCUAAGGUCCCGAAGCGUGUGCUAAGUGGGAAAGGAUGUGGAGUCGCAUAGACAGCCAGGAGGUUGGCUCAGAAGCAGCCAUCCUUGAAAGAGUGCGUAACAGCUCACUGGUCUAGUGGUUCCGCGCCGACAAUGUAGCGGGGCUCAAGCACACCACCGAAGACGCGGCAGCAAUCUUCAUGGUUGCUGGGUAGGAGAGCGUCCUGCGAGGGGCGAAGCGGCGGUGGAAACCGGCCGUGGACUUCGUGGGAGUGAGAAUGCAGACAUGAGUAGCGAGAGACGGGUGAGGAUCCCGUCCGCUGGAUGACCAAGGGUUCCGGGGCCACGUUCGUCGUCCCCGGGUGAGUCGGGUCCUAAGGCGAGGCCGACAGGCGUAGUCGAAUGGAUGAACGGGUGGAUAUUCCCGUACCGACCAUGGACCGGCAAAACCGAGACGGUGAGUACUAACCUCCGCCUCGUGGUGGUUCCUUCCUUCGGGUUGGUAUCGCCGCGUGGUGUUGGGAGCGUAGCCGCAGUAGGUCAGCGCAGGGGUGACACGGAAUGGGAGCCGGCCGCGGAGGUGGUUUUCCGUGGUCAAGCACGCAGCCAGUCAUGUAGGCAAAUCCGCAUGGCGCGCAUGGCGAGGUGUGAUGAUGGGAGCCGUUAUGGCUCGAUAUCCGGUUGUCCAGGCCGUCGAGAAAAGCCUCGGCGUGAGGGCCAUGGCCGCCCGUACCCCAAACCGACACUGGUGGUCAGGUAGAGAAUACCAAGGCGAUCGAGCGAAUCCUGGUCAAGGAACUCGGCAAAUCACUCCCGUGCCUUCGGUAUAAGGGAGACCCGCUGGGGUGAACCGGCUAGCCCGGGGAGCUUUGGUGGGUGGCACAGACCAGGGGGUAGCGACUGUUUACCAAAAACACAGGUGCAUGCGAAGGCGAAAGCCGCUGUAUAUGCACUGACGCCUGCCCGGUGCCGGAAGGUUAAGAGGAUCCGUCAAUCCCUUCGGGGACGAAGCGGUGAAUUCAAGCCCCGGUAAACGGCGGUGGUAACUAUAACCAUCCUAAGGUAGCGAAAUUCCUUGUCGGGUAAGUUCCGACCUGCACGAAUGGCGUAACGACUUCCCC